AGGACGACGCUGGCGGCGUGCUUAACACAUGCAAGUCGAACGAUGAACCGGAGCUUGCUCCGGGGAUUAGUGGCGAACGGGUGAGUAACACGUGGGCAACCUGCCCCAGACACCGGGAUAACCUUCCGAAAGGAUGGCUAAUACCGGAUACGACCACUUCGGGCAUCCGACGGUGGUGGAAAGGAUUCUGGUCUGGGAUGGGCCCGCGGCCUAUCAGCUUGUUGGUGGGGUAAUGGCCUACCAAGGCGACGACGGGUAGCCGGCCUGAGAGGGCGACCGGCCACACUGGGACUGAGACACGGCCCAGACUCCUACGGGAGGCAGCAGUGGGGAAUAUUGCGCAAUGGGCGAAAGCCUGACGCUAGCGACGCCGCGUGAGGGACGAAGGUCUUCGGAUUGUAAACCUCUUUCAGCAGGGACGAAGCGAAAGUGACUGUACCUGCAGAAGAAGCACCGGCUAACUACGUG
rnacentral:rRNA from 1 species